CCCGAAGUCGGUGGGGUAACCUGAGACAAAACUUAACCUCUUAUUAAUAUGAUAGGAAGUUAAGUUUUGUCUUAGGAGCCAGCCGCCUAAGGUGGGACAGAUGAUUGGGGUG
rnacentral:rRNA from 1 species